CAGGAAAGAUGAGUGUUGGGGAAAAGAGGUGGGACAGGCAGUGAUAGCCAGGUCCUGGAGGGCCUUGUUUCCGGAACAGAUGUUUGGAAUUAACCGACGAGAAUGGAAAACCAAUCAGGGGUCUGAAGGUAAGGGGCGAGCGGAGACGCAACGUGGCUGCAUUGAAGGCGGAGCACACGUGCUCCCGUGUGAAGUGGGCGGCCGGCGAGGGAGAGCUCCAGGCAGCAAGGCUGGUCCAAGCAGGGAUGCAGGGACGCAGAGCCCCGCAGUGGCAGUGUGAGAAGCAGGAAGCGUGGUGAGGAUCGGCAGGAAAGAGAACUGAGAGGGCUUCGAGGAACCAUUAAAGUUGACAGCUAGCAUCGAUAUUGCAUCUUAUGAAGAAACAUUUUUCUAAAGGGCUGACACUGGCACUCCUUCCCUGAAAUUUCACAUAGACUACCAGAUCAUACGCCCUGAAGCCAGAGGGCACACAGUGCCUCUUAAAGCAGUUUCAGAAGUAGAAGGAACUGGAGUAUCAGAGAGAUACGCAUAUGCUGCUGCUGCUGCUAAGUCACUUCGGUCAUGUCCAGCUCUGUGUGACCCACCAGGCUCAUAGACGUCAGCCCACCAGGCUCCCCUGUCCCUGGGAUUCUCCAGGCAAGAACACUGGAGUGGGUUGCCAUUUCCUUCUCCAAUGCAUGAAAGUGAAAAGUGAAAGUGAAGUCGCUCAGUCGUGUCCGACUCUUAGCGACCCCAUGGACUGCAGCCUACCAGGCUCCUCCAUCCAUGAGAUUUUCCAGGCAAGAGUACUGGAGUGGGGUGCCGUUGCCUUCUCCUUAGUAUAUGCAGAGACAGAAAAUUUUAGUCUUGACAAGUUCAACUCCCUCUUAGGCCAUUUGACUAUGGGCAAAAUAAUGAACUUCUAUAACCUCAGUGUCCCAUCUGUAUAGGAUGGAGGAAAAAUAGCUCCUUCCUCAUGAGUUGUGUGAAUCAGGCAAGAUAAUGUAUGUGAGUCCUUUUGCACAGUCAGUUCAGUUCAGUCGCUCAGUCGUGUCUGACUCUUUGCAACCCCAUGGACUGCAGCACACCAGGCUUCCCUGGUGUGGAAGUGGGCCAUUCCUGGCUUUGAAGAUGAAGGAAAAAGCCGUAAGCCAAGGAAUGCAAGCAGCCUCUAAAAACUAUAAAAGCCUGGAGCAUUCUCUCCUGGAAAACAUUCUAAAAACAUCUAAGAACAUUCUCUCCUAAAAACAUUCUCUCCUGGAGCCUCAAUGGACAUGAGUUUGAGCAAGCUCCGGGAGUUGGGGAGUACUGGAGUGGGGUGCCAUUGCCAUCUCCAAGCAGCAGCAGCAUUAAGCAUCUAUCUACUCUGUGCUAGAGACCAAGUUAGGUGAUGGGAAUACAGUUCUUUCACUCAACAUAUAUAUUGAAUGAGUGGAUUGUAUAUAUCUAAAGGUUUUACUUGUAUCAUUUUUCAUAUAGAAUAAAAC
ensembl:lncRNA